CUGAAUCUCUCUUCAGUUAUUGUCUGCGUCAGUCUUUUGUUUUCACAGAAGAAGACAAGGCAUUUGUGGGUUGUCAAGAUUUAUUAAUCACCUGAUGAAAUUGUAGAUGAAGCUUAGUGAAUUCUCUGUGUUUCUGCUGCUGGUCUGCAUCUCUCUGCAGAGAGCUGACAGCCAUUUACCUAACUUCAGUCCUGGAACUCACCCUCUGCAGGUAAAUGCUUCAAACAUCGCCUCAGCUGUCAAGGAAAACAUCUUCAGACGACUUCCUGGACUUUGUCGGCGUUUGAAGAGACGCAGAGUCACUGUCCUGUGUAACUUGGAGAAGUUCUGUUGGGGGCGGAGUCAGACAAGUCAUUCAGGUCAGCUGUGUCAGUGCCCGCGGGGUUCCAGGUGUUCACAUUUCUUUCUCCACAGCCUCUGAGUGAUAAUGCUUUUUAAUAAAUAUGAGAAAACUUUU